GAUUUUGUAAAAUUGGGUGUAAGACACUUCCCCUAAAGUCAUGGACUUUCUUGACUGUUAGCCGCUUAUUUCAAUUUACUUAUCAGGCGACUGCUCUAUCAAAGUCAUCUACUCUAAGUGAGAUCUUCGUAUCGACCCUUACGAGGAAGACACCUCGGUGGGCUAUACUACGCGACCAUCGGUCUAGGAUGGAUAUAGUUAAAGGUUCUAAAAGGGGUCUUAGGGUCACUAACUCUAGUAAAGGAAAAGAUUCUUACACCGAAAG
rnacentral:lncRNA from 1 species